GCGGCGUGCCUAACACAUGCAAGUCGAACGAAGUGGCGGACGGGUGAGUAACACGUGAGCAACCUGCCUUUCAGAGGGGGAUAACGGCUGGAAACGGUCGCUAAUACCGCAUGCUGAAAGAUGGGCUCGCGUCUGAUUAGAUAGUUGGUGGGGUAACGGCCUACCAAGUCUACGAUCAGUAGCCGGACUGAGAGGUUGAACGGCCACAUUGGGACUGAGAUACGGCCCAGACUCCUACGGGAGGCAGCAGUGGGGAAUAUUGCACAAUGGGGGAAACCCUGAUGCAGCAACGCCGCGUGAAGGAUGACGGUUUUCGGAUUGUAAACUUCUUUUCUUAGUGACGCGGUAGCUAAGGAAUAAGCAUCGGCUAACUACGUGCCAGCAGCCGCGGUAAUACGUAGGGAGCGAGCGUUGUCCGGAAUUAUUGGGUGUAAAGGGUGCGUAGGCGGCUAUGUAAGUCAGGCGUGUAAUUCAGAGGCUUAACCUCUUGACGGCGCUUGAAACUGUGUAGCUUGAGUGGAGUAGA
rnacentral:rRNA from 1 species